rnacentral:rRNA from 1 species
CCUACGGGAGGCUGCAGUGGGGAAUAUUGGGCAAUGGGCGCAAGCCUGACCCAGCAAUGCCGCGUGAAGGAAGAAGGCCCUCGGGUUGUAAACUUCUUUUAUCAGGGACGAAGGAUGUGACGGUACCUGAUGAAUAAGCUCCGGCUAACUACGUGCCAGCAGCCGCGGUAAUACGUAGGGAGCAAGCGUUAUCCGGAUUUACUGGGUGUAAAGGGCGCGUAGGCGGGAUGGCAAGUCAGAUGUGAAAUCCAAGGGCUCAACCCUUGAACUGCAUUUGAAACUGUCGUUCUUGAGUACUGGAGAGGUUGACGGAAUUCCUAGUGUAGCGGUGAAAUGCGUAGAUAUUAGGAGGAACACCAGUGGCGAAGGCGGUCAACUGGACAGCAACUGACGCUGAGGCGCGAAAGCGUGGGGAGCAAACAGGAUUAGAUACCCGG